rnacentral:misc_RNA from 1 species
CUAACCCGGGGGCAUGGCUAGCUUGCUAGCCGUCCCUUGUGUUGCAAAGCUAUUUAAUCCACACGACUCUCGGCAACGGAUAUCUCGGCUCUCGCAUCGAUGAAGAACGUAGCGAAAUGCGAUACCUGGUGUGAAUUGCAGAAUCCCGCGAACCAUCGAGUCUUUGAACGCAAGUUGCGCCCGAGGCCACUCGGCCGAGGGCACGCCUGCCUGGGCGUCACGCCAAAACACGCUCCCAACCACCCUCAUCGGGAAUCGGGACGCGGCAUCUGGUCCCUCGUCUCGCAAGUGGCGGUGGAUCGAAGAUCGGGCUGCCGGUGUACCGCGCCGGACACAGCGCAUGGUGGGCGUCCUCGCUUUAUCAACGCAGUGCAUCCGACGCGCAGCCGACAU